rnacentral:rRNA from 1 species
GACGAACGCUGGCGGCGUGCUUAACACAUGCAAGUCGAACGGAAAGGCCCUGCUUUUGUGGGGUGCUCGAGUGGCGAACGGGUGAGUAACACGUGAGUAACCUGCCCUUGACUUUGGGAUAACUUCAGGAAACUGGGGCUAAUACCGGAUAGGAGCUCCUGCUGCAUGGUGGGGGUUGGAAAGUUUCGGCGGUUGGGGAUGGACUCGCGGCUUAUCAGCUUGUUGGUGGGGUAGUGGCUUACCAAGGCUUUGACGGGUAGCCGGCCUGAGAGGGUGACCGGCCACAUGGGGCUUGGGAAGCGGCCCGGGCCCCAACGGGGGGAAGGGGGGGGGAAUUUUGCAAAAGGGGCGGAGGCCUGAGGGAAGAACGCCGGGUGGGGGAGGACGGCCUGCGGGGUGGAACCCUUUUUCGCCUGUAACGAGGCGGAGGGAAGGGAAAUGGGGAAAAAAGACCGGCUAACUUCGUG